rnacentral:rRNA from 1 species
AUGCAAGUCGAGCGGUAGCACAGAGAGCUUGCUCUCGGGUGACGAGCGGCGGACGGGUGAGUAAUGUCUGGGAAACUGCCUGAUGGAGGGGGAUAACUACUGGAAACGGUAGCUAAUACCGCAUAACGUCGCAAGACCAAAGUGGGGGACCUUCGGGCCUCAUGCCAUCAGAUGUGCCCAGAUGGGAUUAGCUGGUAGGUGGGGUAACGGCUCACCUAGGCGACGAUCCCUAGCUGGUCUGAGAGGAUGACCAGCCACACUGGAACUGAGACACGGUCCAGACUCCUACGGGAGGCAGCAGUGGGGAAUAUUGCACAAUGGGCGCAAGCCUGAUGCAGCCAUGCCGCGUGUGUGAAGAAGGCCUUCGGGUUGUAAAGCACUUUCAGCGGGGAGGAAGGCGAUAAGGUUAAUAACCUUGUCGAUUGACGUUACCCGCAGAAGAAGCACCGGCUAACUCCGUGCCAGCAGCCGCGGUAAUACGGAGGGUGCAAGCGUUAAUCGGAAUUACUGGGCGUAAAGCGCACGCAGGCGGUCUGUCAAGUCGGAUGUGAAAUCCCCGGGCUCAACCUGGGAACUGCAUUCGAAACUGGCAGGCUAGAGUCUUGUAGAGGGGGGUAGAAUUCCAGGUGUAGCGGUGAAAUGCGUAGAGAUCUGGAGGAAUACCGGUGGCGAAGGCGGCCCCCUGGACAAAGACUGACGCUCAGGUGCGAAAGCGUGGGGAGCAAACAGGAUUAGAUACCCUGGUAGUCCACGCUGUAAACGAUGUCGAUUUGGAGGUUGUGCCCUUGAGGCGUGGCUUCCGGAGCUAACGCGUUAAAUCGACCGCCUGGGGAGUACGGCCGCAAGGUUAAAACUCAAAUGAAUUGACGGGGGCCCGCACAAGCGGUGGAGCAUGUGUUUUAAUUCGAUGCAACGCGAAGAACCUUACCUGGUCUUGACAUCCACAGAACUUUCCAGAGAUGGAUUGGUGCCUUCGGGAACUGUGAGACAGGUGCUGCAUGGCUGUCGUCAGCUCGUGUUGUGAAAUGUUGGGUUAAGUCCCGCAACGAGCGCAACCCUUAUCCUUUGUUGCCAGCGGUUAGGCCGGGAACUCAAAGGAGACUGCCAGUGAUAAACUGGAGGAAGGUGGGGAUGACGUCAAGUCAUCAUGGCCCUUACGACCAGGGCUACACACGUGCUACAAUGGCAUAUACAAAGAGAAGCGACCUCGCGAGAGCAAGCGGACCUCAUAAAGUAUGUCGUAGUCCGGAUUGGAGUCUGCAACUCGACUCCAUGAAGUCGGAAUCGCUAGUAAUCGUAGAUCAGAAUGCUACGGUGAAUACGUUCCCGGGCCUUGUACACACCGCCCGUCACACCAUGGGAGUGGGUUGCAAAAGAAGUAGGUAGC